UGANCCUCGUUUCGGNGUCCGAUUUAGCNUGCUAGUCGCACGAGUUCAUACUCGAGGCAUAUAGCUCAGUAACACGUGGCCAAACUACCCUAUGGACAACGAUAACCUCGGGAAACUGAGGCUAAUAGUUGAUACUGCUCCCAUGCUGGAACAGCAGGGAGCUGGAAACGCUCCGGCGCCAUAGGAUGUGGCUGCGGCCGAUUAGGUAGACGGUGGGUAACGGCCCACCGUGCCUACAAUCGGUACGGGUCAUGAGAGUGAGAGCCCGGAGACGGUAUCUGAGACAAGAUACCGGGCCCUACGGGGCGCAGCAGGCGCGAAACCUUUACACUGCACGACAGUGCGAUAGGGGGACUCCGAGUGCGAGGGCAUACAGUCCUCGCUUUUCUGUACCGUAAGGUGGUACAGGAACAAGUGCUGGGCAAGACCGGUGCCGGCCGCCGCGGUAAUACCGGCAGCACGAGUGAUGGCCGAUCUUAUUGGGCCUAAAGCGUCCGUAGCCGGCCAGACAAGUCCGUUGGGAAAUCGACGUGCCUAACACGUUGGCGUNCAGCGGAAACUGUCUGGCUUGGGGCCCGGAAGACUCGAGGGGUACGUUCGGGGUAGGAAUGAAAAUNCCGUAAUU
rnacentral:rRNA from 1 species